GUGACGACUCCACACAUUCCCCUGAUUACAGGGUGAAUGUGGGCUUCUUAAGAAAUUAGGAAGUACGUCAUUAGCUUCAGUAAUCCGUUAUGCAAGGGUUACUACGUUUACCCAGAAUAUAUAGGUACUUCAGAAUACAGAGAGUAGCGUCUCGAUCCCUAGUUCUGAACUCUACGACCAGUGAUUAAACAUUUCUACAGGAAGAGGAAAAGUGUUGCUGGUGAGUCCACCCUUGUAGGCGGGUUUCCCGCGCCCUGAGGAGUGGCGAACCCGUAAGGGUAUAAAACCUGGAUAAACAUUGGCAAAGGGAACCACGC
rfam:Tolypothrix bouteillei VB521301 scaffold_1, whole genome shotgun sequence.